rnacentral:rRNA from 1 species
GAUGAACGCUGGCGGCGUGCCUAAUACAUGCAAGUCGAGCGGACGGACGAGAAGCUUGUGUCUUUGAUGUUAGCGGCGGACGGGUGAGUAACACGUGGAUCACCUACUUAUAAGUCUGGGAUAAUUUCGGGAAACCGGAUCUAAUACCGGAGGAUAUUUUGAACCGCAUGGUGCAAUAGUGAAAGACGGUCUUGCUGGCACUAAUAGAUGGUUCCGCGCUGCAUUAGCUAGUUGGUAAGGUAACAGCUUACCAAGGCGACGAUGCAUAGCCGACCUGAGGGGGUGAUCGGCCACAUUGGAACUGGGACACGGUCCAGACUCCUGCGGGAGGCAGCAGUAUGGAAUGUUACGCAAUGGGCGAAAGCCUGACGGAGCAACGCCGCGUGAGUGAUGAAGGUCUUCGGAUCGUAAAGCUCUGUUAUUAGGGAAGAACAUAUGUGUAAGUAACUGUGGACAUCUUGACGGUACCUAAUCAGAAAGCAACGGCUAACUACGUG